AUUGAACGCUGGCGGCAUGCCUUACACAUGCAAGUCGAACGGCAGCACGGGAGCAAUCCUGGUGGCGAGUGGCGAACGGGUGAGUAAUAUAUCGGAACGUGCCCAGUAGUGGGGGAUAGCCCGGCGAAAGCCGGAUUAAUACCGCAUACGACCUGUGGGUGAAAGCGGGGGAUCGCAAGACCUCGCGCUAUUGGAGCGGCCGAUAUCAGAUUAGCUAGUUGGUGGGGUAAAGGCCUACCAAGGCGACGAUCUGUAGCUGGUCUGAGAGGACGACCAGCCACACUGGGACUGAGACACGGCCCAGACUCCUACGGGAGGCAGCAGUGGGGAAUUUUGGACAAUGGGCGCAAGCCUGAUCCAGCCAUG
rnacentral:rRNA from 1 species